rnacentral:rRNA from 1 species
AGAGUUUGAUCCUGGCUCAGGAUGAACGUUGGCGGUGUGCCUAAUACAUGCAAGUCGAACGGAGUUAAUAGCAAUAUUGACUUAGUGGCGAACGGGUGAGUAACGCGUUGGUGAUCUGCCUCGAAGUGUGGAAUAACGUUCCGAAAGGAACGCUAAUACCGCAUGUGCUCUCGAUUUUUAGAAACUUGAGAGUAAAGGAUUUAUUCGCUUCGAGAGGAGCCUGCGUCCAUCAGCUGGUUGGUAGGGUAACGGCCUACCAAGGCUAUGACGGGUAGGGGACCUGAGAGGGUGGCCCCCCACAAUGGAACUGAAACACGGUCCAUACACCUACGGGUGGCAGCAGUAGGGAAUAUUAGAAAUGGACGAAAGUCUGAUCUAGCAACACCGCGUGUGCGAAGAAGGCCUUCGGGUCGUAAAGCACUUUUUGGAAGGAAUAGGAAGGAAUGUACUUCCAGAAUAAGUCUCGGCUAACUACGUGCCAGCAGCCGCGGUAACACGUAGGAGGCAAACGUUAUCCGGAUUUACUGGGCGUAAAGCGCGUGUAGGUGGUACUGUAAGUAGGGCGUGAAAGCUCCCGGCUCAACUGGGAGAGGCCGUUCUAAACUGCAGAACUAGAGGAUGGUAGAGGGAGGUGGAAUUCCAGGUGUAGCGGUGGAAUGCGCAGAUAUCUGGAGGAACACCAGUGGCGAAGGCGGCCUCCUGGACCAUUCCUGACACUCAGACGCGAAAGCUAGGGUAGCAAACGGGAUUAGAGACCCCGGUAGUCCUAGCCCUAAACGAUGUAGACUAGCGUCGGUGGUUUAAUCACCAUCGGUGUCCAAGCUAACGCGAUAAGUCUACCGCCUGGGGACUAGGCCGCAAGUUAAAACUCAAAGGAAUUGACGG